AAUCUGGUUGAUCCUGCCAGUAGUCAUAUGCUUGUCUCCAAAGAUUAAGCCAUGCAUGUCUAAGUACAAACCUUAAUACGGUGAAACCGCGAAUGGCUCAUUAUAAAUCAGCUAUGGUUCCUUUUAGAUCGUCUCAUCCUUACUGGAUAAACUGUGGAAAAUCUAGAGCUAAUACGUGUUACAAGCCCUGACCUCACGGAGGGGGCGGCAUUUAUUAGAUCAAAACCAAUCGGGGCGUUGCCCGUCUGCUUGGUGACUCUGGAUAACUUUUGUGCUGAUCGCAUAGGCCUCUGCGCCUGGCGAGACGUAUUCUUUCAAGCGGUCUGCCCUAUCAACUUACGAUGGUAGGUGAUAUAUGCUACCAUGGUUAUAACGGUAACGGGGAAUCAGGGUUCGAUUCCGGAGAGGGGGAGCCUGAGAAACGCUACCACAUCUAAGGAAGGCAGCAGUGCGCGCAAAUUACCACUUCCGGCACGGGGAGGUAGUGACGAAAAUAACGAAUACGGGACUCUUUUUGUGAGCCCCGUAAUUGGAAUGGAGUACACUUUAAAUCCGUUAACAAGUAUCUAUUGGAGGGCAAGUCUGGUGCCAGCAGCCGCGGUAAUUCCAGCUCCAAUAGCGUAUAUUAAUGUUGCUGCAGUUAAAAAGCUCGUAGUUGGAUCUGAGGACUCGAAUUGGUGGUGCACCAUACGGUGUUACUGCCGAUUUCGGGCUACCUUAGUCGGUGCUCGCUCUGGUGUUCUUAAUUGAAUGCCCUGAGUGCCCGGCAAGUUUUACUUUUGGAAAAAUUAGAGUGCUCAAAGCAGGCAUUAGCCGGAAUACUUGCAGCAUGGAAAUAAUGGAAUAGACUUUCGGUUCUAUUUUGUUGGUUUUUUCGGAACCCGAGGUAAUGAUUAAGAGAGACAGACGGGGGCAUUCGUACUGCGGUGUUAGAGGUGAAAUUCUUGGAUCGCCGCAAGACGAACAACUGCGCGAAAGCAUUUGCCAAGAAAUGUUUUCAUUAAUCAAAACGAAAGUCAGAGGUUCGAAGACGAAUCAGAUACCGUCCUAGUUCUGACCAUAAACGAUGCCAACUGGCGGAUCCGAGAUCGUUUGUUUACCUAUUACGACUCUCGGGCAGCCUCCGGGAAACCAAAGUUUUUAGGUUCCGGGGGAAGUAUUCAGUUGCAAAAGCUGGAACUUUAAAGGAAUUGACGGAAGGGCACCACCAGGAGUGGAGCCUGCGGUUAAUUUGACUCAACACGGAAACUCCACCCGGCCCGGACACUGUUAGGAUUGACAGAUUAGAGCUCUUUCUUUGAUUCGGUGGAGUGGUGGUGCGAUGGCGUUCUUUACGUUGGUGGAGCGCAUUUGUCUGACCGUUAAUUUUUUUUUUUUUUUUUCCCGAUAACGAACGAGACUCUAGCCUGCUAAAUAGUACGCGAUACCUUUUCGUCGGUGCUGACUUCUUAGAGGACAAGCGUCUUGAAGACGCACGAGAUUGAGCAAUAACAGGUCUGUGAUGCCCUUAGAUGUUCGGGGCCGCACGCGCCGCUACACUGAAGGGGACAGCGAGUUUUUCCUGGUUCGAAAGAACCGGGUAAUCUGUGUGAAUUCCCUUCGUGACAGGGAUCGGGGCUUGCAAUUAUUCCCCGUGAACGAGGAAUUCCCAGUAAGCGCAAGUCAUCAGCUUGCGUUGAUUACGUCCCUGCCCUUUGUACACACACGCCCGUCGCUACUACCGAUUGAAUGGUUUAGCAAGGUCCUCGGAUUGGUGCCGACUUUGGUGGCAAACACUAGUCGGAUACUGAAAAAGAAGAUCAAAUUGAUCAAUUUAGAGGAAGUAAAAGUCGUAACAAGGUUUCCGUAUGGUGAACCUGCGGAAGGAUCAUUA
rfam:Macrostomum lignano unitig_28993, whole genome shotgun sequence.